CUGAAUGAAAUCCCAAUAGAGAGAAUAAUAGAGAAAGUCUGGGUUGCAAUAUGAUCCUUGCUGAACUUUAAAGGUGGGUCUCUUAAAGAAAGUUCUGGAAAAAUGUUACUGCCUCACCCCUAAUUCCCUCAACCCCCAUUUAUAUCUACUCCCAAACAAUUCUAUAUAAUGAAAACAUCUGUUUUAUAGUUUUUUAUGAAAAAGUGGAUGUGAUCCCUUUUUGUCCUCCUUUAAAUUUUUUAAAAUUACAGUGAUUUCUGAACAAAUCCUUUUCUAAAUUACACAUUUUGCAACAAUUCAAAAUUAUCACAAGUUCUCUUUUGCGACCCAUUUUAUUAAACAAGGUUCCCCAAGUUAUCUUUCGUGAAAACAAUCUACUUUUUUAAAUGACCCUUUUGAUCAUCCUCAAACUGGUGUAAAGUACAUAUAACCUUUUAUUCAUGGUUUUUAGUUAAAAUAUAAAAAGCAUGGAUAAAUUUAGUUAUCUUCUCCACUUAGAUGAUAUAGUAAAGUCUUCCUUUGUUUUUUCUAUUGUGACUUAGAGGCUUCCAUAUUAAUUAUUUUUAAUAGAACAAGAGAUAUUUAAAAUCUAUAUAGUUUCUUUUACAUAAGAAAACAAAAAAAAAUCCUAUUAGGUAAAUACAGAAGCUUAUUUUCUCCGAUAUAUAUUUUUACUAACUGAAGCAGUUACUAAAGAAGAAAGAUAGCUAUAACGGGCUUUUUUUGGUUUUCGGUUUUCGUUUUUUUACUCUGUAGAAAUGACAGAAUUUCAUAACUUGCCUUCAUUCACGUAUAUUCAAUUUAAAUGUCUGUCUUCAUCUUAAAUUGCCUUUUUGUUUCUAAGAAACCAACCACAAUUGGUCGCCCACCAAAUUUCUCCCUAGGAUGACUUUUAGUCUGGAGACAGAGGGGACUCGAUUGUGUCCUUGGCAUAAAUACAGGAAUAGGAACAUAAGAAUUAAUUUGUAAGGGGGUAGCCGAGGAGUGCCUGCAAGUGCUUGGUAGACUCCUGAGGACCCAUUUUUGAUGCAAGCUUUAAACAAAUGAAAAGGAAUCACACUUACUUUUAAAUUGCAUGAGCUAAAUUAAAGAUCCAAAGUAAAACUCACUUUAUAAAGUCCUGCUGACUGAAGGCAAGGAUGGUAGUUUAAGCAGUGGUAUAUAUACUAGCACGUAUACACACAUAUCAUAAAAUAACCGUGUCUAUUUCCAGGGUAAUUAGAACAAUGUUUAACUUUAUUUUGAUAUUACUUUAUAAGGAGAUAUACAAAUAUUUUAGAGGUCAUGGGAUCUAUUCCAGAGGAAACUAACCAACAGUGACAUCUUCAAGUAAAACUACCCCUGGAUAUGAUGGUUGCAUGCAUCAUUCCUUUAAUUGAGCAGAGUUAACUGGAUCAAAUUAUUUAUGGGAGAGAGAGGGAAAGCUAUACAGAAUUACAGUAAUUUUUAAUUUCCACCAAUAUAUUCUUUGUAAGUGAAUCACUCUAAAUAUUUUCUGUUACACUGAAUGAAGCAACAAUAACAAAAUAGUUUCUUAAGGUAUUUGUUUUUGCAUACUCUGACCUUGUAAUUAUCUAAAUAGCAGCCAAGUUUACUGACAUUUUUGAUUCUAUCAGAAAAAAAAAAAUUCUCUACUCAGAAUGAUGACCAGAAACAGAAUCAGACAUUUAUUUUCUUUAAAUCAAAUAAAUGGAAAAUUUCACUUAUCAACUAAUUGUACCAUAUCUAAUUAAUGCAUAAAAGUUCAGAUGUGUAGAAACUGUGAUUUUUUUUUAAGUCUCUACAAACAUCUUCCUCUCCAUAAAGCUUCUACUUGCUAUUUUCUCAUAAUUUUAUCAUUAAAGGGAAAUAACAAACUAUGUGUUUUCUUUAAAAUUCUUUGAAAAAAACUCCAAGGCACAUACUCCUUGACAAUAAGGUUUUGUUUUGUUUUUGAAGAAAUCCCACUUACUAGAAUUUUGACUAUCUAAAUAUUUUGGUUUUUAAAGGGCAGGGGAACUUGUUAAAUACCUCUAUGAAUGUGAAUUGAUCAUUUAUAUUAAAAUAGCCAGAAUUAUUCUUGAGUCAUCAGAAUUACAUUUCUCUGUUUAACACCAUUAACUCUUUCUUACACAAAUUAUAAGAAAAUUUUCCAAAGGGUUUGGUUCUACUUUUUGGAUAUGAAAUGAAGUUUCCUUUUCUGUGUUUAAGGUAUUAUUUUGUAACUGUAUGGUACCAUCAAUGUCCACAACACAUUCUGAGCAUCACUGUGUGUAACAACUUUUAGUUUAUACCCUUUUGAUUCAUGGCAUGGCGCUGUAGUUAAUUAGGAGAAGCACGUAAGCUCACAAUGGCUUUUUAUCUGGUUUUAACAUCCAUACUUAAAAACUUUACAUUAAAAAGAAUAUGAGAAAUUUAAAUAAGUUCCUGUUGCUUUAUGGAGUAUUGGCAAAAAUACAUUCCCAUGUAAAAUCCCACUCUCAAAGCAUCAGAUACCAAAGUUGGCUGGUUGAACUGCCAGAUACAUUAGGCUCAUAAAUUAUUUUGAAAAUGGCUGCCGUUUCCAUGUAAAUGACAAGUUUCUUUUUCAUGGGCUAUGGUACUUAUCUACUACAAGAAACAUGUAUAAACAUAGUCUUUAUCUUUAACUUCAGUAUUAAAAUAUGCAGAGUUUUUGUGAAGAGGAAAAACAUCUGGUUCAAUUACUCUGAACUCUGACUGCAUGUGGGCCAGUAAUAAUAAUAUGAAUUGGAUUUAAGAAUAAACCUUAUAUUUAAUCUUUUGUUUUGUUUUUCCUUAAAAUUUCGAUGUGAGUUUUCUGUCACGUCAAUUAUCCAUGUUAGCACAUUUGGAACAAAUGUAAAAAUGUACAUUCUGAAUAAAGUCAAAAGUCUAACUUGUUUUAGUUCCAUAAUGUUUUAAUGUUUAAUUCUAUUGUGUGUUUCUCUCCCUUUCCCCUGACCCUCCAAAAUCACCAAAUCUGGAAAACAGACUGAUUGUAUCUGCCCAUGAGCAAAGGAAGCCCGAAGGAACCAAGGGCCUGGCUGGACGGAGUUGUCAUGUGACUGCCUGUCUACACUUGCUGUGCAGAACAUCCGCUCACCUGUACAGCAGGCACAGACAGGCAGUCACACGACAACCCAGCCUGAAUGACAACCAGCCAUUGAAAGAAAGCAGCCCUCACACCAUAGCAUCUACACCAAGAACUACAACCAAAAUGAGGGGCGCGGGGGCCUGGGGUUUUAAUCUGUUGGUUUAAUACUUAAUUCGUAUGUAUUAUUAUUAUUAUUAUAUUUUGAUUCAAAUAUUGAAACCCACCAAAAGUAAAGUGAGUGGUGCCUAUGAAAUAUAAUAAAACCCAUUUUUGAAAA